rnacentral:rRNA from 1 species
GUGAGGAAUAUUGGUCAAUGGGCGAGAGCCUGAACCAGCCAAGUAGCGUGCGGGACGACGGCCCUAUGGGUUGUAAACCGCUUUUGCAGGGGAAUAAAGUGGGCCACGUGUGGUCUUUUGCAUGUACCCUGAGAAUAAGGACCGGCUAAUUCCGUGCCAGCAGCCGCGGUAAUACGGAAGGUCCGGGCGUUAUCCGGAUUUAUUGGGUUUAAAGGGAGCGCAGGCCGGAGGGUAAGCGUGACGUGAAAUGCCGCGGCUCAACCGUGGAAGUGCGUCGCGAACUGUCCUUCUUGAGUGCGAACGACGUUGGCGGAAUUCGUGGUGUAGCGGUGAAAUGCUUAGAUAUCACGAAGAACCCCGAUUGCGAAGGCAGCCAACGAGGCCGCAACUGACGCUAAAGCUCGAAGGUGCGGGUAUCGAACAGGAUUAGAAACCCUAGUAGUCC